GCCGAGGUGUUGAAAUUGGUAGACAAGCAGCGUUGAGGGCGCUGUGCUCGUAAGAGCGUGCGGGUUCGAGUCCCGCCCUCGGCACCA
rnacentral:tRNA from 2 species